GGUUGGACAAAAGAAGACGAUUCCGUCAUGUUGAAAAUAAGAUCUCAGAAGAUUGCUACUUCUAACCUCUCAAGGAGGCUCUGAUACCAAAUGUUAAAAAACAAAGAAAAGAAAUAUAGAAGACAGAUGAGAGAAAAAGAUAAUAUAUUGAAUUGCAGUAGAUGGCUUUAUAUAGCCUUACAAAAACAGCAAAAGCUAAAAAUCUGUAGAAUAAUUCAGCAAAUCAAAACAACUUGAAAAUCCCUUAGCAAUAGGGAUUUAUUGACUAAAACAAAAUAGCAAAUUCUAACAAAGUCAACUAACCCAAUAAAAAGCGACGAAUUCGUUGCCAACACAAGGAGCCACUAACUAUCAAAGGGGGAAGCACAAAGCAGAGAGAACUCUUCCAACUAGGUGGACAUGCAAAACUGAUACAACCUUCCCGAAGUUAAGCAGAGUUCCCUAAACAAUUUCGUCAACCUCUGGACACGGUUGAACUAGGAAACAAAUUUUUGUCAGAUAAAUGAACUAGAGACCAUGGAGAUGCUGAAGAAUCGGGGAAGGCAUAACAAAACUUAAGCUUCUCAUUCUCAAAUAGCUUAGAAGGGAUUGAGGACCAACAGCUCAAUCAACACCAUUACAUCCUUUAGUUGCCAACCAAUAGGGUGAACCCCUGGAACUAAAUCUCUAUGAUUCAACAAAGCUGAUCUUCACUAAAAUCCUAGAUCUGUAAGCCAUAACAAUACAAAGACAAAAUAUUCACAAACCCAUCUCGAAGGAGACUCCAGACUAGAGAGGAGUCAUCCCCUACCGAGAGCGAUAGGGAAUAGCUAUCGCAAAUUGAGAGAACUGAAAUUGUAUUGAAUUAAUUGAAUGAAUUACAAAUAUAUGAGCCAUGCUAGGAAAUAAAAUUACAGUUACCUAUGCUAACAACUUCAUAACAGAAAAAUUAAUUUGCCUAAGCUGCUUUCGAACUGACUUUGACAACUUUACCCUUUUCAUCUAAUAAUAACUGCG
rnacentral:misc_RNA from 1 species